rnacentral:rRNA from 1 species
UACGGAGGGUGCAAACGUUGCUCGGAAUCAUUGGGCGUAAAGCGCACGUAGGCGGCCUGUUAAGUCGGGUGUGAAAUCCCUCGGCUCAACCGAGGAAGUGCAUUCGAAACUAGCAGGCUUGAGUAUGGAAGAGGGUCGUGGAAUUCCCGGUGUAGAGGUGAAAUUCGUAGAUAUCAGGAGGAACACCGGUGGCGAAGGCGGGUCUCUAGGCCGACACUGACGCUGAGGAGCGAAAAGCGUGGGGAGCCGAACGAGGAUUAUAAAGACCCCGGGG